rnacentral:rRNA from 1 species
UACGAAGGGGGCUAGCGUUGCUCGGAAUCACUGGGCGUAAAGGGCGCGUAGGCGGCGUUUUAAGUCGGGGGUGAAAGCCUGUGGCUCAACCACAGAAUGGCCUUCGAUACUGGGACGCUUGAGUAUGGUAGAGGUUGGUGGAACUGCGAGUGUAGAGGUGAAAUUCGUAGAUAUUCGCAAGAACACCAGUGGCGAAGGCGGCUCACUGGCCCGGUACUGACGCUGAGACGCGAAAGCGUGGGGAGCAAACAGG